rnacentral:rRNA from 1 species
UACGGAGGAGGCAAGCGUUAUCCGGAAUUAUUGGGCGUAAAGCGUCCGUAGAUGGUUUUGUCAGUCUGCUGUCAAAGCACAGGGCUUAACCCUGUAAAGGCAGUGGAAACUACAAGACUAGAGUGCAGUAGGGGCAGAGGGAAUUCCCAGUGUAGCGGUGAAAUGCGUAGAUAUCGGGAGGAACACCAGUGGCGAAGGCGACUACCUGGCCUGUUCUUGACGCUGAGGUGCGAAAGCUAGGGGAGCAAACGGG